ACCUACUAGGCUCUAGUCGGGACCCAUUUGAUUCGGGGAAACCUACAUGAACUGACUUCUCGGAAUCUUGCACAGAGUCUGUGAUCUAACCCGACACUGAGCCACCAUGGCGUAGCGGGCCUGGCAAGUCCGGAGGCAGAAGGGAUUCUGCACGACCUGGUUGAGAAGGUGGUUCCUGCAGAUGGAUCCACGUAGGAGUUCGAGGAAUCCGGCUGCCCGCAGCACAUUGUCGUGGCUCAAGUCUUAGGCGCUUUAGCUGCGGCCUAAGGGACCAGUUCUUUUCCCACUUUGUUGGUUGUUUGGCGCGGAGGGUGUGGGGGGGCUGCAGUCGGGGGUCCUGAUUCGCUGCUCUGAUUGCCUGCUGUUCUUAAACCCAUUACCGGGUAAAACCAGGGGAAGCCGUUAACCCGCCCCGCCCCGCCUCCCCUGCGGGCUCAUCUAGCAUUCUUUCUACCGCCUGACAGCAGGGCAAUUCACCACCUCCUCAGACUCCUUUGGAAAACAAUUCUGUUUCUCCUCAAAUUCUUCCUCAUUAAAA